rnacentral:rRNA from 1 species
UACGUAGGGUGCAAGCGUUGUCCGGAAUUAUUGGGCGUAAAGAGCUCGUAGGCGGUCUGUCGCGUCGAAUGUGAAAAUCCAGGGCUCAACCCUGGACCUGCAUUCGAUACGGGCAGACUAGAGUUCGGCAGGGGAGACUGGAAUUCCUGGUGUAGCGGUGAAAUGCGCAGAUAUCAGGAGGAACACCGGUGGCGAAGGCGGGUCUCUGGGCCGAAACUGACGCUGAGGAGCGAAAGCGUGGGGAGCAAACAGG